rnacentral:rRNA from 1 species
UACGUAGGGUGCGAGCGUUAAUCGGAAUUACUGGGCGUAAAGCGUGCGCAGGCGGUUCGUUGUGUCGGUGGUGAAAGCCCCGGGCUUAACCUGGGAAUGGCCAUGGAAACUGGCGAACUGGAGUGUGGCAGAGGGGGGUGGAAUUCCGCGUGUAGCAGUGAAAUGCGUAGAGAUGUGGAGGAAUACCGAUGGCGAAGGCAGCCCCCUGGGUCAAUACUGACGCUCAUGCACGAAAGCGUGGGGAGCAAACAGG